GUGCUCGCUUCGGCAGCACAUAUACUAAAAUUGGAACGAUACAGAGAUUAGCAUGGCCCCUGCGCAAGGAUGACACGCAAAUUUGUGAAGCGUUCCAUAUUUUU
ensembl:snRNA U6 U6 spliceosomal RNA